rnacentral:rRNA from 1 species
UGGGGAAUUUUCCGCAAUGGGCGAAAGCCUGACGGAGCAAUACCGCGUGAGGGAGGAAGGCCCUUGGGUUGUAAACCUCUUUUCUCAGGGAAGAAGCAAGUGACGGUACCUGAGGAAUCAGCAUCGGCUAACUCCGUGCCAGCAGCCGCGGUAAGACGGAGGAUGCAAGCGUUAUCCGGAAUUAUUGGGCGUAAAGCGUCCGUAGGCGGUUACUCAAGUCUGCUGUCAAAGCUCACAGCUCAACUGUGAAUCGGCAGUGGAAACUGAGUGACUAGAGCGUGGUAGGGGUAGAGGGAAUUCCUAGUGUAGCGGUGAAAUGCGUAGAUAUUAGGAAGAACACCAGUGGCGAAGGCGCUCUACUGGGCCAUGACUGACGCUGAUGGACGAAAGCUAGGGGAGCGAAAGGGAUUAGAUACCCCCGUAGUCC